ACGGGAGGCAGCAGUGGGGAAUAUUGCACAAUGGGGGAAACCCUGAUGCAGCGACGCCGCGUGAGUGAAGAAGUAUUUCGGUAUGUAAAGCUCUAUCAGCAGGGAAGAAAAUGACGGUACCUGACUAAGAAGCCCCGGCUAACUACGUGCCAGCAGCCGCGGUAAUACGUAGGGGGCAAGCGUUAUCCGGAUUUACUGGGUGUAAAGGGAGCGUAGGCGGCACGGCAAGCCAGAAGUGAAAACCCAGGGCUCAACUCUGGGAUUGCUUUUGGAACUGUCGAGCUAGAUUGCAGGAGAGGUAAGUGGAAUUCCUAGUGUAGCGGUGAAAUGCGUAGAUAUUAGGAGGAACACCAGUGGCGAAGGCGGCUUACUGGACUGUAAAUGACGCUGAGGCUCGAAAGCGUGGGGAGCAAACAGGAUUAGAUACCCUGGUA
rnacentral:rRNA from 2 species